UGGAUGGAUAAAUUCCAACACUCGGCCCAACGAUACCAACGACACGCAACCGAUAACCGAACAAAUUUUUCGCAACACGAAUCAUUUGAAAGAAGUUAUAUAUCAAGUUUAGAAAAUACCGUUACACAUUUCAAGUGACAGUUUGAUUUCGGAAUUCAAAUAGAGUGAGAAAUGGUUUUUUUUCGAAUUUAAAUUUCUGUCUAAAUUGAACGAAAUUUCAAUUAAGUGGUUACAUCUAUACACGGAAAGGCAUAUAAUAUAUUAAUGAAACACCACCAAAAAUCAUUACUAAAAAUUAUAGUUGCAUCAUCUCAUCAUACAGUCGUAACAUUACAAAAAUACCGAAAGACAGACAUUUGGUUUGGAUUUGAUAAAUGAUGCCAUAUUCAUUAUAAUCAACAAUAAAACCGAAACAAUUAUUUCAUUCGUAUGAUUUGUCAGUCAACUCCAUCGAUAGCCGAUCUGUCUAUUUGCUGUGGCACAUCGAUACACUCACAUCGGUGUACGAAAAAUCACGAAAAAUACAUCUAACGGUCGAACGAAUCAAAUCCAGCGAUUACCCAAAUAAUGGAAAACCAAAUCAAAACGAUUAGAUUUUGAAUGGAAUCAAGACAAUUCGUGGAACGAUUAAUCAUUUUGGCCAACAUUUUGGAGUCUGCGUUGAAAUCCAGCAAUAAAUCUGAGAUUGUCGAUUAGUAAAAGGAGAAAGCAAAAAAGGCAUAAAAUUCAACGCGUAUUACAUUUCUGUAUCAAUAUUGAUUAUCAACAUAUCAUGUUAAUUCCGCUAAAUUGGCGUGUUUUUGCCACCAUCUAUCAUUUCAAAUUGAUAUGAAUUGCAUAU